AUUCGCCUGCUCUUUCGUCUCUUCAUUCCCCUUUGAAUAUUUUUCUUCUUCUAGCUUCACCAGGUCUCACCAAUUUGUCACGUCCAGAUCCGCCUACACGGUGCGAUGGAUAAGUGUUGCAAGAAGGGACACGACAAACUGACAUACAGGAUGAAGCCCUUAGCACACGUUUUAUUUUAC
ensembl:ncRNA ZK867.15 ncRNA